rnacentral:rRNA from 1 species
GAUGAACGCUGGCGGCGUGCCUAAUACAUGCAAGUCGAGCGAACAGACGAGGAGCUUGCUCCUCUGACGUUAGCGGCGGACGGGUGAGUAACACGUGGAUAACCUACCUAUAAGACUGGGAUAACUUCGGGAAACCGGAGAUAAUACCGGAUAAUAUAUUGAACCGCAUGGUUCAAUAGUGAAAGGCGGUUUUGCUGUCACUUAUAGAUGGAUCCGCGCCGCAUUAGCUAGUUGGUAAGGUAACGGCUUAUCAAGGCAACGAUGCGUAUCCGACCUGAGAGGGUGAUCGGCCACACUGGAACUGAGACACGGUCCAGACUCCUACGGGAGGCAGCAGUAGGGAAUCUUCCGCAAUGGGCGAAAGCCUGACGGAGCAACGCCGCGUGAGUGAUGAAGGUCUUCGGAUCGUAAAACUCUGUUAUUAGGGAAGAACAAAUGUGUAAGUAACUAUGCACGUCUUGACGGUACCUAAUCAGAAAGCCACGGCUAACUACGGG